GAUGAACGCUGGCGGCGUGCCUAAUACAUGCAAGUCGAGCGAACGGACGAGAAGCUUGCUUCUCUGAUGUUAGGGGCGGACGGGUGAGUAACACGUGGAUAACCUACCUAUAAGACUGGGAUAACUUCGGGAAACCGGAGCUAAUACCGGAUAAUAUUUUGAACCGCAUGGUUCAAAAGGGAAAAACGGUCUUGCUGUCACUUAUAGAUGGAUCCGCGCUGCAUUAGCUAGUUGGUAAGGUAACGGCUUACCAAGGCAACGAUGCAUAACCGACCUGAGAGGGUGAUCGGCCACACUGGAACUGAGACACGGUCCAGACUCCUACGGGAGGCAGCAGUAGGGAAUCUUCCGCAAUGGGCGAAAGCCUGACGGAGCAACGCCGCGUGAGUGAUGAAGGUCUUCGGAUCGUAAAACUCUGUUAUUAGGGAAGAACAUAUGUGUAAGUAACUGUGCACAUCUUGACGGUACCUAAUCAGAAAGCCACGGCUAACUACGUG
rnacentral:rRNA from 1 species